CACGUAGGACGCAAGCGUUGUCCGGAAUUAUUGGGCGUAAAGAGCUCGUAGGCGGUCUGUUGCGUCCGCUGUGAAAACUCGGGGCUUAACCCCGAGCCUGCAGUGGAUACGGGCAGACUAGAGGUAGGUAGGGGAGAAUGGAAUUCCCGGUGUAGCGGUGAAAUGCGCAGAUAUCGGGAGGAACACCGGUGGCGAAGGCGGUUCUCUGGGCCUUACCUGACGCUGAGGAGCGAAAGCGUGGGGAGCGAACAGG
rnacentral:rRNA from 1 species